AUUGAACGCUGGCGGCAGGCUUAACACAUGCAAGUCGAGCGGAGAUGAGGUGCUUGCACCUUAUCUUAGCGGCGGACGGGUGAGCAAUGCUUAGGAAUCUGCCUAUUAGUGGGGGACAACAUUCCGAAAGGAAUGCUAAUACCGCAUACGUCCUACGGGAGAGAGCAGGGGAUCUUCGGACCUUGCGCUAAUAGAUGAGCCUAAGUCGGAUUAGCUAGUUGGUGGGGUAAAGGCCUACCAAGGCGACGAUCUGUAGCGGGUCUGAGAGGAUGAUCCGCCACACUGGGACUGAGACACGGCCCAGACUCCGACGGGAGGCAGCAGUGGGGAAUAUUGGACAAUGGGGGGAACCCUGAUCCAGCCAUGCCGCGUGUGUGAAGAAGGCCUUAUGGUUGUAAAGCACUUUAAGCGAGGAGGAGGCUACUGAGACUAAUACUCUUGGAUAGUGGACGUUACUCGCAGAAUAAGCACCGGCUAACUCUGUGCCAGCCGCCGCCGUAAUAC
rnacentral:rRNA from 1 species